CCAAAUAUCACAUCACACCUAACAAAAGAACUGGGUGAAGAACUUUAGGAAAAAUGGCACAUUUAUAUAACCUGUGAGACAAAUUUGUAAACCAUGAAGUCCAAAAAUUGUGUUGUUUGUGUAAGCAAUGUGAUCUUUGUAACCC